rnacentral:rRNA from 1 species
GAUGAACGCUGGCGGCGUGCCUAAUACAUGCAAGUCGAGCGAACAGACGAGAAGCUUGCUCCUCUGACGUUAGCGGCGGACGGGUGAGUAACACGUGGAUAACCUACCUAUAAGACUGGGAUAACUUCGGGAAACCGGAGCUAAUACCGGAUAAUAUUUUGAACCGCAUGGUUCAAUAGUGAAAGACGGUUUUGCUGUCACUUAUAGAUGGAUCCGCGCUGCAUUAGCUAGUUGGUAAGGUAACGGCUUACCAAGGCAACGAUGCAUAGCCGACCUGAGAGGGUGAUCGGCCACACUGGAACUGAGACACGGUCCAGACUCCUACGGGAGGCAGCAGUAGGGAAUCUUCCGCAAUGGGCGAAAGCCUGACGGAGCAACGCCGCGUGAGUGAUGAAGGUCUUCGGAUCGUAAAACUCUGUUAUUAGGGAAGAACAAAUGUGUAAGUAACUGUGCACAUCUUGACGGUACCUAAUCAGAAAGCCACGGCUAACUACGUG